AACGAACGCUGGCGGCAUGCCUAACACAUGCAAGUCGAGCGCCCGUAGCAAUACGGGAGCGGCGCACGGGUGAGUAGCGCGUGGGAACCUGCCCAGAGGUUCGGGACAACCGCGGGAAACUGCGGCUGAUACCGGAUAAGAUGCCUGAGGGCCAAAGAUUUAUCGACCUUUGGAGGGGCCCGCGUCGGAUUAGGUAGUUGGUGAGGUAACGGCUCACCAAGCCUGUGAUCCGAGCUGGUCUGAGAGGAUGAUCAGCCACACUGGGACUGAGACACGGCCCAGACUCCUACGGGAGGCAGCAGUGGGGAGUAUUGGACAAUGGGGCAACCCUGAUCCAGCAAUGCCGCGUGGGUGAUGAAGGCCUU
rnacentral:rRNA from 1 species